CGAAAAAUAACGAUACGGGACUCAUCCGAGCCCCGUAAUCGGAAUGAGUACACUCUAAACCCUUUAACGAGGAUCAAUUGGAGGGCAAGUCUGGUGCCAGCAGCCGCGGUAAUUCCAGCUCCAAUAGCGUAUAUUAAAGUUGUUGCGGUUAAAAAGCUCGUAGUCGAACUUGUGUCCCGCGCCGCCGGUUCAUCGCUCGCGGUGUUAACUGGCGUGUCCGCGGGACGUCCUGCCGGUGGGCUUAGCCUUCGCGGGCGGCCCAAUUACAAUCCCGCCGCGGUGCUCUUCGCUGAGUGUCGAGGCGGGCCGGCACGUUUACUUUGAACAAAUUAGAGUGCUUAAAGCAGGCUAAAACAUCGCCUGAAUACUGUGUGCAUGGAAUAAUGGAAUAGGACCUCGGUUCUAUUUUGUUGGUUUUCGGAACCCCGAGGUAAUGAUUAAUAGGAACGGAUGGGGGCAUUCGUAUUGCGACGUUAGAGGUGAAAUUCUUGGAUCGUCGCAAGACGGACAGAAGCGAAAGCGUUUGCCAAAAACGUUUUCAUUGAUCAAGAACGAAAGUUAGAGGUUCGAAGGCGAUCAGAUACCGCCCUAGUUCUAACCAUAAACGAUGCCAGCUAGCGAUCCGCCGACGUUCCUCCGAUGACUCGGCGGGCAGCUUCCGGGAAACCAAAGCUUUUGGGUUCCUGGGGGAAGUAUGGUUGCAAAGCUGAAACUUAAAGGAAUUGACGGAAGGGCACCACCAGGAGUGGAGCCUGCGGCUUAAUUUGACUCAACACGGGAAACCUCACCAGGCCCGGACACCGGAAGGAUUGACAGAUUGAGAG
rnacentral:rRNA from 1 species